rnacentral:rRNA from 1 species
UUGAAAAGUUAGGGGAUGACUUGUGGCUGGGGGUGAAAGGCCAAUCAAACCGGGAGAUAGCUGGUUCUCCCCGAAAUCUAUUUAGGUAGAGCCUCGGACGAAUUCCAUUGGGGGUAGAGCACUGUUAAGGCUAGGGGGUCAUCCCGACUUACCAACCCUUUGCAAACUCCGAAUACCAAUGAGAACUAUCCGGGAGACACACGGCGGGUGCUAACGUCCGUCGUGGAGAGGGAAACAACCCAGACCGCCAGCUAAGGUCCCAAAAUAUUGCUAAGUGGGAAACGAUGUGGGAAGGCAUAGACAGCUAGGAGGUUGGCUUAGAAGCAGCCAUCCUUUAAAGAUAGCGUAACAGCUCACUGGUCUAAAUAAGACGUCCUGCGGCGAAGAUGUAACGGGGCUCAAGCCAUGAGCCGAAGCCGAGGAUGCACAUAGUGCAUGGUAGCAGAGCGUA